AUCUGAUCUGAUGGCAGAUGUGGCUGCUCUCUGCGGUCCCUGUCACAGCCUUCCUACUUUGGAUGGUGCUUCGCUCAGGGACUGAGGUGUUGGGGAGAGUCCUCUUUGGACAGCAUCUCAGCCCAGUCUGAGCUGCCCAAAGCAGAUUGCUAUCAUCCUAACUAGCUCAAUGCUGCCCUAAUGAAUUUCUGCCUUGAGGAUGAACUUUCCUCUCAAAACAUGUGUGUCUGCAAACACAACUGCAAAUGUAGCAGGUGGAGAGGCUGCAAUCCAGCACGCUGCUUCAGAUACAGAUCUGCUUUGAAAGAGCAACCUGGGCCUGAUUCCCCUUGCCAGGUCUUUCAGUGGCUUUACUGUGUGUGCCAGGCAUGGGGCUGUGCCUUGACACAGCAUGGAGAGGAGGGAGGAGCAGGAGCUGGCAUCGACAGGGAACAGGAUGGGAAAAGGGGAGCCUCGUGGGAAUCCAAGCUCCUCCUCCCUGUGCCAUUUCUGAUGAGGACAGUGUUUGCAGGGUUGUUGAGGGACACCGUGUCCCUCUCUGUGUGCUUGUAAUGUGAGUUGUGGGAACUACUGAUCAGUACAAGGUUGGAGGACUUCUCCCUGACCUGAGGAAUCGCUUUCACAAAUGUUCUGCUGACCUCAGAAGCUGGUGAAAACUGCCCUCAUCUAAACCAGAUCUACAGAGGAACAGGAUCAGGUCUUGCAAAAUAUUUAGUUAUUGCACCCGAUAUGUCCGGGUAAUUCAGCAGACAAUAGCUGCUUUCUCCUCUGACAAGUGCUUUGCUGAUUGCCCAACUGGGCAGGGAGAAGAAACAUGGAGCAGGGUUCCAGCAACGGCAGCUCCUGGAGCAGUGAGGACUGUGGUGCCAGGGAGGUGUGCAGCAGAGAAGGGCCAGGCAUCUGUAAUGUGAAGUGAAAACCCAAACCAAACCAGGGAGUCAAAGCACUGCUGGCAGCUUCUGUUUGGUUUUCUAUCCGAUUUGCUUUAGCAGCCAAGCAGGCCCUGCCUUUCACUGGGAGCCCAGGCUGCCUGCAUGGUGUGGAACCUGGGAUGGCAGCUGUCUCUAGACUGCAGGUGAUGGGGGCUCCCUUUUGGUCUCUGCUUCAACCCAUCAGCUUGCCCUGAAGCUUCUCCCUUCCUCAUUUCUUACACAGGAAAGGUUUUAUCCCCCAUUUCCCCGUGUGGCAAGGUGCAUCAAGGGCACUGUCCAUCUCCCUGGCAGACUUGUUCUGAAACUUUCCUCUUGUUCAACUCACUGGCUUGGGACUCUGCUUCUUGCUGCGAAGCCUCCCUUCCAAUCCAGUUGCAGUUCUCCCCUCCACCUGUGAUGAGGGGUCAUGGUGUUGCCUUUGGCCUGGGCCCUUCCUUGCAAUGAGCAGGACCUUACAGCCCUGACAAAUCCUCCUGCAUGGGGCCAGAGCUGGCAGCUGCUGACUCACGAGAGGAGCUGCGUGCACACUCGAGUGAGGCGCUGAGCCAAGGACAGAGAGGGACAGGGCUUGGCACCUGACUGAACAUCAUCAUCUCCUCGUGUGGGUGUGCAGAGCUGUUCCCGCAGGUAUGGUGAACCAGUCCUGUUUGCAGUGUUUGGCUGCUGGUGAGCCUUUGCCUUGGGGCAGGAGACUGGCGUGGCACGCAGGCGGGCACAGAGGAGGAGCUGGGUCGUGGGUAUCACCGUGGGUUACCAGGAUCUGCAGGGCUCCCGCAAGAGGAGGACAGGGCUCAGACCCCAUGGCCUCUUGCCCUUAUGCCUUCCUGGACGCAGCACGCCUACCCCUGAGGCAGGCUGGUUCAAGGGUAUUUUUUUAGUGUUGCCUCUUCCACUGCCUUUUGGUCUCACUCUUACGCGUUUGUUUGUCUGAUGAGCUGGAGAAGCAGGUUGCACCUCUCCUUUCAAGGUGUUUAGGUCACCCGGUGAUUCUCCUGUCCUCCUAGCCCCAGCGGGCUUUUCCAAAUCCAGCCUGCUGGCAGCUGCUUCAGUUUCAAAACAGGGAAAGAAAAACAUAAAAACUGUGUUUUUCCUUUUUAAAUAGGUCUUACGCUAUAUUUUUAAAAUGAGUAAAUGCCUCCAAAAGAGGAAGUGACAAGGGGGAAGGGGAAACUAGGGACUAUCAAGAUGCUUGGCUCAGUUGAAUCACUCAGACUGCCUUUCUGAAGUUAACUUUCUGCACUGCCAAAAACACUUACAAUAAAUGUAUUUCAUAAAAAAAAAAUGAGAGUGAUCUUGUCAGUUUCUCUCU